rnacentral:ncRNA from 1 species
AACCGAUACAACAGAAGAGUAUCAGUUUGUGCUGCGGCUUUAAAUCCAUACCAAGAAAAAUAACAAUACAGACUCUUUCAAGGCCCUGUAUUUGGAAUGAGCACAUUUUAAAUCCUUGAGAGAGGAGCCAAUGGAGUGCAAGUCUGGUGCCAGCAGCUGUAGAAAUUCCAGCUCUAAUAGCCUAUAUUAAAGUUACUGCAGUUAAAAAGCUUGUAUUUGGAUGUUGGGAGCGAGCUGGCCAUCAGCCGCGAGGUGAGCCCCAGCCCCUGCCUCUCGGCACCCCCUCGAUGUUCUUAGCUGAGUGUCCUGUGGGGUCCAAAGCGUUCACUUUGAGAAAAUUAGAGGGUUCAGAGCAGGCUGGCCACUGGCAUACUGCAACUAGGAAUAAUGGAACAGGACCAGGAGGCAGCUGGCAAAGGCCACAGGGUGGUCAGCUUCGAUGGGGAGCCCAUGCAGACCAAGUCCAAGAGCAAAGAGGAGCCUGACCCUGGCGAUGAGGACUCUGACGUUGAGCCUCCAGCCAUUAACCGAUACAACAGAAAAGUAUCAGUU